AGAGAGAGAGAAUGUGUGCACACAGAUAUAAGAAGUUGGGGUUGAUGAUCUACAUGAUGGUGAUGGACCAGGACAGCUCUGGACCUCCUGACUGGCAGCUCCAUCCUCAACCUCUCUUCCUGCCCUUCACACAUGUGCAGGCAGGCAGUUUUCUGAAAGAUGGUUGAUGUCAGUACCAACAUGUUGUGAUGGAGGCUUCCACCUGAGCUGAACACAGAAACUUGCACACAGUGAUGGAAGCAGUCGUUCCUGUUCAGCAUCGAUAUGCCAGUAAUGGGUUUGAUGAGCCACAGCAUGGUGAUGGGCAAUCAGCAUCAGGACCAGGGCAGCUCACAAGGAGAACCUCCUGCCCUGCCUCGUCAUCCUCAACCUCCCAUCUCCCUGCUCUUCACACAUGUGCAGGCACGGAGCCAGUUUUCAGAGGGAGGGCUGAUGACACCAGCAACUUUGGUUCUGAACCUGAUCAACCCAGCACCAACCACUGUGCCGCUCCUCCUCUGCCAACUGCACCACAUGGCUCCACCAUCUCAAAAAGGCACAGACACUACUCCACUUCCUGCAAAGGAUGAGAGAAGAGCUGACCGCCCCACAUCGGCACUCACCACCUUCUACAGGGGUGUCAUUGAGAGCAUCCUGACCAGCAGCCUCUCUGUCUGGCAUGGCAGCCGUCAAGCUGAAGACUAGAAGGCAGUACAGAGAGUGUGGUGAGAACGGCAGAAACGCUCAUAAGAUCACCAUUCAGGAUCUGUACACUUCACACUGUUCCAAGAGGGCAAUGAACAUCAUAAAGACACAACUCAUCCAGCAUACAGACUGUUCUCCCUACUACCAUCAGGGAAGCGCAUGUGGUGCCGCACAAGCACACUGGGAAACGGCUUCUUUCCACAAGCCAUCAGACUCCUCAACGCACUGAAAAAAACCACAUGAAUAUUCCAAGGACACUGGAGAAUAUUCCAUGAACACUUCUUUCACCAUGCCACGUACACUUAACUCAUUGCACCUUAUAUACAGCAUCUUCACAUCACCUGUAUGAUCUCCUCCUGCCGUGUGUGUGUGUGUGUGUGUGUGUGUGUGUGUGUGUCCACUGUGUUUGUGUAUUUAUUGACCAUCAGUAUGUUAAUCUUCUUAUUGCACACUGUUUGUGUCUGUGUGACUGUAUUUAUUGUAUGUAUCAGUCUGUAGGCUAUUUCAUGUCAAUGCAUUAUUUUUAGUUAUUAGUUAAACUGCACAUUGGAGACUGGUCAAACACAAUUUCAAACUUUGUGUUAACCCUACAUAGAUUUUUGUCAAAAAAUGGAGUCUAAUCUACUGUACUACACAGGCUAUCAACAGACCACACAGUUGAGUGCUGUUUUAUGCACUCUGAAUAUGAGGAGGAGAGGUGACCGUUCACACUUCAUAGUGUAAAAGUAAACAGAAAUAAAUUUUCACAUUUCAUUCCUGUCUCGUUCACUUCUUUCAGCAAUGUAUGUGGCCUACAUGCAGGGAAGCUGACAGGGGGGACAAAGGGGUCCGUUUACCUGGGCCCAGUGAGACGAGGGGUCCAGGAAUGGGUCCUCAUUACAUUGUAUGUAGUCUAUGUAUUGAGUGCAGGGGGCCCUUUCAGAUGACUUUGUCCUGGGCACAGCCAAAGCUGUCAGCGGUCCUGAUUAUGUACGCACAAACACUGGUUAUGAUGGUAGGAAAAAAAAUUCUCUGUUUUCUGAUGGCCUUUGAAUUAAGACAGGCCAAUCUGGAACCUCUCCUGGAUAAAGAGGUAAGCUUCAAUAGUGUGGUCAAUCCUAAAUCAUAGACAGACAUGGAGUAUGGUAGGCCUUUGGUAAUGAAGAAAUCGUUUUUCUCCAAUAAAACAAACA